rnacentral:rRNA from 1 species
GACGCAGUAGGAUAGGCGAAGCGUGCUGUUGGAGUGCACGUCCAAGCAGUGAGAUUGAGUGUUAGGCAAAUCCGGCACUCUUAAGAUUGAGCUGUGAUGGGGAGAGGAACUUGUUCCUCGAGUCGUUGAUUUCACACUGCCGAGAAAAGCCUCUAGCUAGAAUAACGGUGCCCGUACCGCAAACCGACACAGGUAGUCAAGAUGAGAAUUCUAAGGUGAGCGAGCGAACUCUCGUUAAGGAACUCGGCAAAAUGACCCCGUAACUUCGGGAGAAGGGGUGCUCUUUGAGGUUCACGCUUCGAAGAGCCGCAGUGAAUAGGCCCAAGCGACUGUUUAUCAAAAACACAGGUCUCUGCUAAACCGUAAGGUGACGUAUAGGGGCUGACGCCUGCCCGGUGCUGGAAGGUUAAGAGGAGUGGUUAGCGCAAGCGA